CCUACGGGUGGCUGCAGUGGGGAAUAUUGGACAAUGGGCGAAAGCCUGAUCCAGCCAUGCCGCGUGUGUGAAGAAGGCCUUCGGGUUGUAAAGCACUUUCAGUGGGGAAGAAAGCCUUGGGGCUAAUACCCUCGAGGAAGGACAUCACCCACAGAAGAAGCACCGGCUAACUCCGUGCCAGCAGCCGCGGUAAUACGGAGGGUGCGAGCGUUAAUCGGAAUUACUGGGCGUAAAGCGCGCGUAGGCGGUCUGAUAAGCCGGUUGUGAAAGCCCCGGGCUCAACCUGGGAACGGCAUCCGGAACUGUCAGGCUAGAGUGCAGGAGAGGAAGGUAGAACUCCCGGUGUAGCGGUGAAAUGCGUAGAGAUCGGGAGGAAUACCAGUGGCGAAGGCGGCCUUCUGGACUGACACUGACGCUGAGGUGCGAAAGCGUGGGUAGCAAACAGGAUUAGAUACCCGAGUAGUC
rnacentral:rRNA from 1 species